UACGUAGGGUGCAAGCGUUGUCCGGAAUUAUUGGGCGUAAAGAGCUCGUAGGCGGUCUGUCACGUCGGACGUGAAAAUCAGGGCUCAACCCUGGACCUGCGUUCGAUACGGGCAGACUAGAGUUCGGUAGGGGAGACUGGAAUUCCUGGUGUAGCGGUGAAAUGCGCAGAUAUCAGGAGGAACACCUAUAGCGAAGGCAGCUUGCUGGGACGUUACUGACGCUAAGGCGCGAAAAGCGUGGGGAGCGAACAGG
rnacentral:rRNA from 1 species